CACAACAUCAAGAGCAGGAAAAUGGACUCAUUAGGGAGGCAGGCAGUCAUUACCACUCACACUGUACUUCCAGGGAGACACCGAUUAUAAGAAGAGAAACUCAGCGCUGGGGAAGAAGAAUUGAUAAAUUGCAAGUUUGUGCCCCAUAGCUGCACAGACUGCCUGAAGUUACAUUUAGAGACUGAAAUCACUGCACCUUAAAAACAAAAGAUUGAGCUGCACUGUAUUCCUAAUGUUUCAUCAUUACUAACAGGAUAUUCCUCAUGACAUUGCUGUCUGCCUUUGAAGAAGUUCUAAGACAGAGCUCCUUACAGGGAAGCAUCUCUGUGCAUUCAGAAGAGAAGAACAUUUCUGAGUCCUCAAGAAACUAUUUCAAUCUUUGACCAUCAGUCUGUGACCUGCCCCUUCUCUUUACAUGCAGCCGCUCUCUGCUCCCUGCCCCAAUGAACAUCUGCACUAGGCCCAAGCCUUGGAG
rnacentral:sRNA from 1 species